GAUCAUUUUGCGUAUUCGUUUCGACUUUUUAAUCUUGAAUCUCUCGUCAAGACAAGAGGGGUUGCUCUGAUGGUAAGCAACCUCCAUUUCCAACCGAGAGGUUAUGAGUUCGAGUCUUCCCAAGAGCAAGGUGGGAAGUUCUUGGAGGGAAGGACGCCGGGGGUCUAUUUGGAAACAGUCUCUCUACCCAAGGAUAGGGGUAAGGUCUGCAUACAUACUAUCCUCCCCAGACUCCACUAAGUAGGAUUAUAUUGGGUUGUUGUUGUUAUUGAUAUCUCUCAUCAAUAUAUGUAUAUGUUUUUUU
rnacentral:lncRNA from 1 species